CAGGGUUGCAAAACUCCCACAAACCAUCGCGAAUCUUACCCGUACGGUUGCCUCGGCGCUGGCGGUCCGGAAGGCCCUCGGGCCCCCCGGAUCCUCGGGUCUCCCGCUCGCGGGAGGCUGCCCGCCGGAGUGCCGAAACCAAACUCUUGAUAUUUUAUGUCUCUCUGAGUAAACUUUUAAAUAAGUCA
rnacentral:misc_RNA from 1 species